rnacentral:lncRNA from 10 species
ACUCGGGGCCCCGGCCGCCGCUCCCGGCGCGGGUCUCGGGCGCGCCCUGCCCGGCGGGGAUGGAGGAAGGGGAGGCGGAGAGCGGUGGGAACCGAGGGCGGGGCGUGCGAGAACCCGGGGCGACCACGGCGGGACGGCAUUGGGGGGCCGGAGGCGGGCAUCGGGAAGCGGGUAGAGCGUUGGGGGCGCUGCAGUGGGAGCUUGGGGCGGCCCCCGGGGCGGGAUUGAGGGGGAGGGGAGGGGAGGCGUUGGCCGCCGGGCUAGCCGCCGGCGGGGCUCCAGGCCGGGACGGUCGGGGAUGGUUCCACAGAGGACCCAGCCGUCUGCCCCGAGCUGGGCGCUGCGCGGCUGCUCCGGGGGAAGCUUGGUGAGGAGGAGUCGGGCCAGCCGGUGAUGCCUGCGCCUCUUGCGCAUGCUGACCCCCUCAAGGAGCGGGGCCAGAGAAUCGCUCCUUUCUGGCAGGGACUGUGGCCGCUUUCGGCCUGGGAAUGAAGCGACGUAGCCUGCUGGGGCUGUGAGGGACUGAUUCUGGCACAGUGACCGCAGAACCUGGGGGGCGGAGCACAUGCCCCCGGAAGGCUGUGAAAUCCCGCCAGUGGCAGUGACAGAGGCGAAUAUGAGGGUCCUCAGAGGAAAAACAAAGAAGAUAGGAGCAGCAGAAAAUGGCCCCCACGAGGAUCUGAGCCAACCUCGCCACCCCUAGGGCUCCCGGCCCUGCUUCCCUGGGAAAGCCUGGCCAUGUGGGUCACCCCUGUGAGCAUACCCUUUCUGAGUGUCUGAUGGCCAGUUUGCCAGGUGUGACUGGUCUCACAUCCUUCCCCAUCCAUAGGACCCCCCUCCUGUGGGGAGAGGGCACUUGUUUGUCCUCUUUUGCUCAGGGGGCUGGGCCACCUCCCUUGAAAUGGGGCUGACUCAGCAGAGGGAGUGCAGACGGCAGCCCAGCCCACCCAGGCUGCAGCGACCCCAGUGGGAGGCCCACCCGCCCCACGGCCAUGGGCUCCAGUGAGCCCCCAAAGUCUGGCUCCAGCACCAGGAAGUGAGAGGCAGCAGAGGGAAGCAGACAGGACGGGAGACCCUCCCCACCCCCCACACACCCCCCUGCAAUGAUGGCAUGCUUAAAGGCAUGGAGGCUGCCUCCAAGAAGACGUGUGAGAUUGUAAAUGUGCAUCACAAGCGCCUCCCUGCACCUAGGAUGAUGGCGGCAGAUAGAGGCAGUCCCCUCAGCCUACCUGGACCCAGGGAGAAUCACACCCCCUCCCACGAAUGUCCCAGGCUCUAACUCCCUUUCACGUCUGGCUGCCCUCGCCCACCGUGGCCUACCUGCUGCCUCAGCCACAGCCGCUAGUGUCCCUUCCCAGAGGGCAGCAUUCACCUGCCCCCACCUCCUGCUUCUCUCAAGCCAUAUCCAGACAACCUUGGGCACAGUGUGAGGUGGAGACGUUUCCCAGGAAGUGUGGGCUUUUUUAUUCUCAUCUGCCAUAAUGCAGUCUGGCCCCUAUGUUUCUGUUGGAGAAGCUGGGGCUGGCGGUUCUCUGGCUGGAAAGUGCAUUGUACCCCACAACUCCCCACGGCCUCCCAGGCCUAAGAAGCUCUCCAGGUAAGGGAUGGCUUGUCCAGGUAGGCAGGACAAGCCAUCACUGGGCCCACAGUCAGGUGAACAGAAAUCCACCUCCAGUCAAAAACAGGCCAGGUGUGGUGGCUUACCCCUCUACUCCCAGCACUUUGGGAGGCCAAGGCUGGAGGUUCAUUUGAGGCCCAGGGUUUGAGACCAGCUAUAGACACAUUGCAAGACCCUGUGUCUAUUAAAAAAAACAAACAAACAAAUAAGCGGGCCAGGCGUGGUGGCUCAUGCCCGUAAUCCCAGCACUUUGGGAGGCUGAGGUUGGGGGAUCACCUGAGGUCAGGAGUUCAAGUCUGGGCUGACCAACAUGGUGAAACCCUGUCUCUACUAAAAAUACAAAAGACAUUAGACAGGCUUGGUGGUGGGUGCCUGUAAUCCUAGCUACUCACGAGGCUGAGACAGGGGAAUCACUUGAACCCAGGGGGCGGAGGUUGCAGUGAGCCGAGAUCGUGCCAUUGCACUCCAGCCUGGGCAACAAGAGCAAAACUCCAUCUAAAAAAAAACAAAGAAGAGAAAAUAAGAAAAACAGAUUAGCAAAUUAGCUGGGCCAGGCACAGUGGCUCACACCUGUAAUCCCAGCAAUUUGGGAGGCCAAAGCAGGCGAAUCACUUGAGGCCAGGAGUUCAAGACCAGCCUGGCCAACAUGGCGAAACCC